ACAGAGGGGGCAAACGUUAUUCGGAAUUAUUGGGCGUAAAGGGCGCGUAGGCGGCUUGGCAAGUGGAUGGUGAAAUCCCUCGGCUUAACCGAGGAACUGCCGUCCAAACUGCUUUGCUUGAGACCGGGAGAGGUGAGUGGAAUUCCCAGUGUAGCGGUGAAAUGCGUAGAUAUUGGGGGGAACACCAGUGGCGAAGGCGGCUCACUGGACCGGUACUGACGCUGAGGCGCGAAAGCUAGGGGAGCAAACAGGA
rnacentral:rRNA from 1 species